rnacentral:rRNA from 1 species
GAUGAACGCUGGCGGCGUGCCUAAUACAUGCAAGUCGAGCGAACGGACGAGCAGCUUGCUUCUCUGAUGUUAGCGGCGGACGGGUGAGUAACACGUGGAUAACCUACCUAUAAGACUGGGAUAACUUCGGGAAACCGGAGCUCAUACCGGAUAAUAUUUUGAACCGCAUGGUUCAAAAGUGAAAGACGGUCUUGCUGUCACUUAUAGAUGGAUCCGCGCUGCAUUAGCUAGUUGGUAAGGUAACGGCUUACCAAGGCAACGAUGCAUAGCCGACCUGAGAGGGUGAUCGGCCACACUGGAACUGAGACACGGUCCAGACUCCUACGGGAGGCAGCAGUAGGGAAUCUUCCGCAAUGGGCGAAAGCCUGACGGAGCAACGCCGCGUGAGUGAUGAAGGUCUUCGGAUCGUAAAACUCUGUUAUUAGGGAAGAACAUAUGUGUAAGUAACUGUGCACAUCUUGACGGUACCUAAUCAGAAAGCCACGGCUAACUACGUG